UACAGAGGGGGCAAGCGUUGUUCGGAAUACUGGGCGUAAAGGGCGCGUAGGUGGCCUUCUAAGUUGACGUGAAAUCCCUGGGCUCAACCCAGGAACUGCGUCCAAGACUGGGAGGCUUGAAUCCGGGAGAGGGAUGCGGAAUUCCAGGUGUAGCGGUGAAAUGCGUAGAUAUCUGGAGGAACACCGGUGGCGAAGGCGGCAUCCUGGACCGGGAUUGACACUGAGGCGCGAAAGCCAGGGGAGCAAACGGG
rnacentral:rRNA from 1 species